rnacentral:tRNA from 1 species
UAUUUAAAUAGUUUAUUAUAAAAUAUUAAUUUGUGGAAUUAAAGAUUAUGUUAUAUUUAAAUAA